rnacentral:rRNA from 1 species
AGAGUUUGAUCAUGGCUCAGGAUGAACGCUAGCGGCAGGCUUAACACAUGCAAGUCGAGGGGUAACGGGGAAGCUUGCUUCCGCCGACGACCGGCGCACGGGUGCGUAACGCGUAUACAAUCUACCUUAUACUGGGGUAUAGCCUUUAGAAAUGAAGAUUAACCCCCCAUAGUCUCUUAGAGUGGCAUCACUUCUAGAGUAAAGGUUACGGUAUAAGAUGAGUAUGCGUUCUAUUAGUUUGUUGGUGUGGUAACGGCACACCAAGACUACGAUAGAUAGGGGCCCUGAGAGGGGGAUCCCCCACACUGGUACUGAGACACGGACCAGACUCCUACGGGAGGCAGCAGUGAGGAAUAUUGGACAAUGGAGGCAACUCUGAUCCAGCCAUGCCGCGUGCAGGAAGACUGCCCUAUGGGUUGUAAACUGCUUUUAUACAGGAAGAAACACCUCUACGUGUAGAGGCUUGACGGUACUGUAAGAAUAAGGAUCGGCUAACUCCGUGCCAGCAGCCGCGGUAAUACGGAGGAUCCAAGCGUUAUCCGGAAUCAUUGGGUUUAAAGGGUCCGUAGGUGGAUAAUUAAGUCAGAGGUGAAAUCUUGCAGCUCAACUGUAAAAUUGCCUUUGAAACUGGUUAUCUUGAGUUAUUAUGAAGUAGUUAGAAUAUGUAGUGUAGCGGUGAAAUGCAUAGAUAUUACAUAGAAUACCAAUUGCGAAGGCAGAUUACUAAUAAUCAACUGACACUGAUGGACGAAAGCGUGGGUAGCGAACAGGAUUAGAUACCCUGGUAGUCCACGCCGUAAACGAUGGUUACUAGCUGUUUGGACUUCGGUCUGAGUGGCUAAGCGAAAGUGAUAAGUAACCCACCUGGGGAGUACGUUCGCAAGAAUGAAACUCAAAGGAAUUGACGGGGGCCCGCACAAGCGGUGGAGCAUGUGGUUUAAUUCGAUGAUACGCGAGGAACCUUACCAGGGCUUAAAUGUAAGUUGCAUUAGUUAGAGAUAGCUAUUUCUUCGGACCACUUACAAGGUGCUGCAUGGUUGUCGUCAGCUCGUGCCGUGAGGUGUCAGGUUAAGUCCUAUAACGAGCGCAACCCCUGUUGUUAGUUGCCAGCGAGUCAUGUCGGGAACUCUAACAAGACUGCCAGUGCAAACUGUGAGGAAGGUGGGGAUGACGUCAAAUCAUCACGGCCCUUACGUCCUGGGCUACACACGUGCUACAAUGGUAGGUACAGAGAGCAGCCACUGCGCGAGCAGGAGCGAAUCUAUAAAACCUAUCACAGUUCGGAUCGGAGUCUGCAACUCGACUCCGUGAAGCUGGAAUCGCUAGUAAUCGGAUAUCAGCCAUGAUCCGGUGAAUACGUUCCCGGGCCUUGUACACACCGCCCGUCAAGCCAUGGAAGUUGGAAGUGCCUGAAGUCCGUCACCGUAAGGAGCGGCCUAGGGUAAAGUCGAUAACUAGGGCUAAGUCGUAACAAGGUA